rnacentral:rRNA from 1 species
CCUACGGGGGGCAGCAGUGAGGAAUAUUGGUCAAUGGGCGAGAGCCUGAACCAGCCAAGUCGCGUGAGGGAGUACUGCCCUAUGGGUUGUAAACCUCUUUUGUCGGGGAGCAAAAGCCGGACGUGUCCGGCUGUGAGAGUACCCGAAGAAAAAGCAUCGGCUAACUCCGUGCCAGCAGCCGCGGUAAUACGGAGGAUGCGAGCAUUAUCCGGAUUUAUUGGGUUUAAAGGGUGCGCAGGCGGAUUUUUAAGUCAGCGGUAAAAUCGUGGGGCUCAACCCCAUCCAGCCGUUGAAACUGGGGAUCUAGAGUGUGCGAGAGGUAUGCGGAAUGCGUGGUGUAGCGGUGAAAUGCAUAGAUAUCACGCAGAACCCCGAUUGCGAAGGCAGCAUACCGGUGCACAACUGACGCUCAGGCACGAAAGCGUGGGUAUCGAACAGGAUUAGAUACCCUGGUAGUC